rnacentral:rRNA from 1 species
UACGUAGGGGGCUAGCGUUGUCCGGAAUCAUUGGGCGUAAAGCGCGCGUAGGUGGCCCUGUAAGUCCGUUGUGAAAGUCAAAGGCUCAACCUUUGAAAGCCGAUGGAUACUGCAGGACUAGAGUACGGAAGAGGCGAGUGGAAUUCCUGGUGUAGCGGUGGAAUGCGCAGAUAUCAGGAGGAACACCAAUAGCGAAGGCAGCUCGCUGGGACGUUACUGACACUGAGGCGCGAAAGCGUGGGGAGCGAACAGG